UACGUAGGGGGCAAGCGUUGUCCGGAUUUAUUGGGCGUAAAGAGCGUGUAGGCGGUUUGGUAGGUCCGUUGUGAAAACUCGAGGCUCAACCUCGAGACGCCGAUGGAAACCAUCAGACUAGAGUCCGGAAGUGGAGAGUGGAAUUCCUGGUGUAGCGGUGAAAUGCGCAGAUAUCAGGAGGAACACCAAUGGCGAAGGCAGCUCGCUGGGACGUGACUGACGCUGAGACGCGAAAGCGUGGGGAGCAAACAGG
rnacentral:rRNA from 1 species